GCACUUUGAUUUCUCGUAAGGUGCCGAACGAGUCAAUAAAUAACAUCGUCCGAUCCCUAGUCGGCAUAGUUUAUAGUUAAGACUACGACGGUAUGUGAUCGUCUUCGAUCCCCUAACUUUCGUUCCUUAUCAAUGAAAACAUCCUUGGCAAAUGCUUUCGCAGUAGUUAGUCUUCAAUAGAUCCAAGAAUUUCACCUCUGACAAUUGAAUACUGAUGCCCCCGACUGUCCCUAUUAAUCAUUACGGCGGUCCUAGAAACCAACAAAAUAGAACCACACGUCCUAUUCCAUUAUUCCAUGCUAAUGUAUUCGAGCAUAGGCCUGCCUGGAGCACUCUAAUUUUUUCAAAGUAAAAGUCCUAUUUCCCCACCACGACCAGUAAAGGCCAUGGGGUUCCAUAGAGGGAAAGACCCGGCCGGAUCAGUGCACCCGGUGAGGGGG
rnacentral:rRNA from 1 species